rnacentral:rRNA from 1 species
UACGUAGGGGUGCGAGCGUUUGUCCGGAAUUAUUGGGGCGUAAAGAGCUCGUAGGCGGCUUGUCGCGUCGGAUGUGAAAGCCCCGGGGGCUUAACUCCGGGUCUGCAUUCGAUACGGGGCAGGCUAGAGUUCGGUAGGGGGAGAUCGGAAUUCCCCGGUGUAGUGGUGGAAUGCGUAGAUAUCGGGAGGAACACCAGUGGCGAAGGCGGUUGCCUGGGGGCUUUUGCUGACGCUGAUGCGCGAAAGCGUGGGGGAGCGAUCCGG